rnacentral:misc_RNA from 1 species
GAACGUAAAUUUAUCAACAAGAAAAGGGAGUAAAAUACCAUCCAUAUCUUCCAUAAUUACAACUUUGCCAUUGCUUCUUUGUCGUUAUACAAAGCAUAACCUUUCUAUUUGAAUUAUGGGUAAUAAAGGAAAUAUAUGCCUUAUAUUUGGGCCCAGGGCCCAUCUCUCUCCCGCUAUUAAUGACGUGUCACUAGGGUCGGUUACUGAAUCCCAAAGAAACCCACUGCGAUAACUUUUUGAGAAUGCACAUCUGUUCCUUUGGUUCUCUCAUCGACGUUCUUUCUUCUUCUUGAUGCUGAAGGGAAAGUCAAGAGCUGCUAAGCUUAAUUGUAUACCAGAGGAUUUGGAGGGCUACGUGACUCGCCAUUUCCUCAUUUUUGUUCCCAUUUCUGGUUCAAUUUUUACCAUUUAUCUUCCACUAGCAUAUUUUCUAUUGAGUUGAAAUUUUUUGGCUGGGAUUUGCUUUCUCUGGUUUGUCUAGUUUUACGGCUCUUAUAUCUCUCUGUUUUGUUCGUAGACCUUUUGAAUGCUCCGCUCUACAAUGCAGGAUUCAUUGGCGAUUUCUCAUUUAUAGGUUUGGAUUUGCUUUUCGCAUUCCUGGAUUUGUUAAGGUCUUCGAAAGGAAAGGAGCCUGCAAGUGAGAUUUAGAUAGCGGUUGAGGAUGGGGUGGUUUUGGAUUUGCCUUGGGUAGAGAGAAAAUGGGAAGUGAGACACGGAAGAUCAGAGGAGAGUGAAAGAUACAAUGGUC